rnacentral:lncRNA from 1 species
AUGUACUUUUCACAAGUUUGUGAGAACAGAAUGGAAGAAACAAUAUUUUGGAUGCUGGAACAAUUUACUCAGAACAACCAGAAGCCAACACUGCAGAAGCUGAACCAGGGUAAACCAACAUCAAGCAACAUUCACGCUGCCAAACCAUGGGGCCACUGUUUGGCCAGCUGCUUUUUCAGGCAUUUUUGUCUCCUGCUUUGCUUUACCACACAGCUCCACAAGUACUUGUGCCAGCCAGCAAGUCAGGAACAAGCCAGCGACCACUGCUCAAAAUGCCUCACCAAGUCCUGGCCAACACAUGCCAUCAGGGUCUCAGCUCCUAUCCCCAAUGUCCUGCAGAACAGCCCCUCUCUGCCCUGUCCCUCCCCAUCGGUCUCUGCAAGCUAUGGGAAGAUGCCCAUGAGAUCAUUAAUCAAUGGCUUUUAAAGGCUUUUGUGUUCAAAGUAGGGCUGGAACUUCAGAGUUCCCCUUCUGAGCCCAAAUGUAGUUACCGCUCUGCAGCUGUUUUGAGAAAAGACAGCAGCUCAGAAGCCAGCCCUUGAAAAGCUACCUGAAUCCUAACACAAAAUGGCACCGAUGACAAGAGACACAAAACCAACGACAAGAAGGGACUCAAAGCUAUCGGAAGUCUUCCAGUCUUCCUCUUCCUUUGCUUUUCAUCUGAACAUGACUGGGAUGAGGGAAUGGACUUCCCUCCACAUAACCUUCUUACUGUUAGCAACCAGAGCUUUAAAAAAAAAAAACAAAAAAAAACCUACCAUGCAGCACAUAAAAAAAAAAACCCACCACUUAAAAAAUGUCACAUCAAAGGUAAGAAAAUUAGAAAUGUGUGAAAAGGAAACAAAAAUGCGUGGACUAUUUCAGACAAUUUUCUGUGAUUAAGAAACAUGUGGGAUGCCACAUGCAUUUUCACAUAGGGGAAAGCAAGUGUUUAACACCACUGCUUAACCGUAGUCUAAAAACCAUCAGCAGCACUGCAGUAGGCUCUAGCGUAACCAGACCGGUGUUUUGGUGCUUGUGCGUGUCGUGAGAAACUUUGCUGGUUAGGCACAGCACAAAAAGAAAAAAAAAAUAGAAUAGAAAAGAAUAGAAAAGAAAUAAAAUGUUCUACUAAAUGCA